rnacentral:rRNA from 1 species
CAGCCGCCGCGGUAAUACGGAGGGUGCAAGCGUUAAUCGGAAUUACUGGGCGUAAAGCGCACGCAGGCGGUCUGACAAGUCAGAUGUGAAAUCCCCGGGCUUAACCUGGGAACUGCAUUUGAAACUGUCAGGCUGGAGUCUUGUAGAGGGGGGUAGAAUUCCAGGUGUAGCGGUGAAAUGCGUAGAGAUCUGGAGGAAUACCGGUGGCGAAGGCGGCCCCCUGGACAAAGACUGACGCUCAGGUGCGAAAGCGUGGGGAGCAAACAGGAUUAGAGACCCGAGUAGUCCCUGUCUCUUAUAC